CAGCACCUCAAGUGGUCAGGAUGAUUAUUGGGCCUAAAGCAUCCGUAGCCUGCUUUGCCAGUUUUCGGUUAAAUCCAUACGCUUAACGUAUGGGCUGCCGGGAAGACUACAAAGCUAGGGAGUGGGAGAGGUAGACGGUACUCGGUAGGAAGGGGUAAAAUCCUUUGAUCUAUUGAUGACCACCUGUGGCGAAGGCGGUCUACCAGAACACGUCCGACGGUGAGGGAUGAAAGCUGGGGGAGCAAACCGGAUUAGAGACCCGAGUAGUCC
rnacentral:rRNA from 1 species